rnacentral:rRNA from 1 species
GACGAACGCUGGCGGCGUGCCUAAUACAUGCAAGUCGAACGAGAGCGACCGGUGCUUGCACUGGUCAAUCUAGUGGCGAACGGGUGAGUAACACGUGGGUAACCUGCCCAUCAGAGGGGGAUAACAUCCGGAAACGGAUGCUAAAACCGCAUAGGUCUUCGAACCGCAUGGUUUGAAGAGGAAAAGAGGCGCAAGCUUCUGCUGAUGGAUGGACCCGCGGUGCAUUAGCUAGUUGGUGAGGUAACGGCUCACCAAGGCCGUGAUGCAUAGCCGACCUGAGAGGGUGAUCGGCCACAGUGGGACUGAGACACGGCCCAAACUCCUACGGGAGGCAGCAGUAGGGAAUCUUCCGCAAUGGACGCAAGUCUGACGGAGCAACGCCGCGUGAGUGAAGAAGGUUUUCGGAUCGUAAAACUCUGUUGUUAGAGAAGAACAAGUGCUAGAGUAACUGUUAGCGCCUUGACGGUAUCUAACCAGAAAGCCACGGCUAACUACGUG